rnacentral:tRNA from 1 species
GGCUUCGUAGCCCAGCUGAUAGGGCACUUACCGCGUUGAGGCAUUGUGUUUCUGUUGCUGGUUCAAAUCCAGCCGAAGCCC